rnacentral:rRNA from 1 species
GGGGGAUAUUGCACAAUGGAGGAAACUCUGAUGCAGCAACGCCGCGUGAGGGAAGAAGGUUUUCGGAUUGUAAACCUCUGUUUUUAGUGAAGAAACAAAUGACGGUAGCUAAAGAGGAAGCCACGGCUAACUACGUGCCAGCAGCCGCGGUAAUACGUAGGUGGCAAGCGUUGUCCGGAAUUACUGGGUGUAAAGGGUGCGCAGGCGGGAUUGCAAGUUGGAUGUGAAAUACCGGGGCUUAACCCCGGAGCUGCAUCCAAAACUGUAGUUCUUGAGUGGAGUAGAGGUAAGCGGAAUUCCGAGUGUAGCGGUGAAAUGCGUAGAUAUUCGGAGGAACACCAGUGGCGAAGGCGGUCUACUGGGCACCAACUGACGCUGAGGCUCGAAAGCAUGGGUAGCAAACAGGAUUAGAUACCCUGGUAGUCCAUGCUGUAAACGAUGAUUACUAGGUGUUGGGGGAUUGACCCCCUCAGUGCCGCAGUUAACACAAUAAGUAAUCCACCUGGGGAGUACGACCGCAAGGUUGAAACUCAAAGGAAUUGACGGGGGCCCGCACAAGCAGUGGAGUAUGUGGUUUAAUUCGAAGCAACGCGAAGAACCUUACCAGGUCUUGACAUCCGAUGCAUAACACAGAGAUGUGUGAAAUCCUUCGGGACAUCGAGACAGGUGGUGCAUGGUUGUCGUCAGCUCGUGUCGUGAGAUGUUGGGUUAAGUCCCGCAACGAGCGCAACCCUUAUUGCCAGUUACUACGUUAAGAGGACUCUGGCGAGACUGCCGUUGACAAAACGGAGGAAGGUGGGGAUGACGUCAAAUCAUCAUGCCCUUUAUGACCUGGGCUACACACGUACUACAAUGGCGUUAAACAAAGAGAAGCAAGACCGCGAGGUGGAGCAAAACUCAAAAACAACGUCUCAGUUCAGAUUGCAGGCUGCAACUCGCCUGCAUGAAGUCGGAAUUGCUAGUAAUCGCGGAUCAGCAUGCCGCGGUGAAUACGUUCCCG